CAAAUACUCCCUCCGUCCAGAAAUACUUGUCAUCAAAAUGGAUAAAAGGAAAUGUAUCUAGACGUAUUUUAGUUUUAGAUACAUCUCUUUUUAUNAAAAGGAAAUGUAUCUAGACGUAUUUUAGUUUUAGAUACAUCUCUUUUUAUCCAUUUUGAUGACAAGUAUUUUCGAACGGAGGGAGUAGAAA
rfam:Triticum aestivum genome assembly, contig: Triticum_aestivum_CS42_TGACv1_scaffold_499769_6BL